UUUUGCAUGCAUUUUUAAUUGCCACAAGUAGGCUACAUCACAAAACAGUCAGUUGGAAGACUUGCGUUAAAAAUAAUAUAUACAGGAGUUAAUAUACAUAUAUAAUACGGUUUUGAUGAGAACUUCGUCCGUUUCUGUCUUUUGCAUCACAGCGACAGAGGAGAAUUCCUGGGAGACACAGGCCUGACGACCACAUAUUGCAGGAACCCCUGAAAACAGGGAUAAUCAUUGUCAGGUAACACACCAGGUGAGAUGGAUGUAUG